rnacentral:rRNA from 1 species
GAUGAACGCUAGCGGCAGGCUUAACACAUGCAAGUCGAGGGGUAUAGUUCUUCGGAAUUAGAGACCGGCGCACGGGUGCGUAACGCGUAUGCAAUCUACCUUUCACAGAGGGAUAGCCCCAGAGAAAUUUGGAUUAAUACCUCAUAGUAUAGCAGUUUCGCAUGAAACCACUAUUAAAGUCACAACGGUGAAAGAUGAGCAUGCGUCCCAUUAGCUAGUUGGUAAGGUAACGGCUUACCAAGGCAACGAUGGGUAGGGGUCCUGAGAGGGAGAUCCCCCACACUGGUACUGAGACACGGACCAGACUCCUACGGGAGGCAGCAGUGAGGAAUAUUGGACAAUGGGCGCAAGCCUGAUCCAGCCAUGCCGCGUGCAGGAUGACGGUCCUAUGGAUUGUAAACUUGCUUUUUGUACAGGGAAGAAACACUGGUUCGUGAACCAGCUUGACGGUACUGUAAGAAUAAGGAUCGGCGUAACU